GCGUCCGUGGCUAAGCAGUUAAAGCGGCUCCCUGCAGAGGAGCAGAUCGAGGGUUCAAAUCCCUCCGGGCGCU
rnacentral:tRNA from 1 species